UGUAAAUCAGUGUUAGUUGCACAUAAACUUUUGGAGUUUAAAGAUUAGAUAAUUCUUUAAUUACAA
rnacentral:tRNA from 2 species